AACUUCAUCUUCUUCAGUCUCAUCUCUCAUAUCUCUCAUAACUCCCAUCUCUCUCCAAGCUUACUGUUUCUCUCAUCACUCCUAUCUCUUUGCACGCCUCUCUCAUCUCUCCCAUAUUUCUCCCAUCGCAUCUUCUCUUCGUCUCCCAUCACUCCCAUCGCAUCGCACCCCCACAACCACCACCGCGGUCGCCCUCCCACCACCGCCACGUUCGCCCUCCCACCACCGCCACGUGAGGAGUCAAGGAUCUUGGUGGCUGCAGUAGGCAAGGUUCAUGGCGGCUUGAGGACGGCGGCCAGGAGGAGGCAAACUCAUGACUGUUGGAAGAGGGGCAAGGGCUGCAAGGCCGUAGAGGAGGCGGCGGCUGCAGUCUUAGUUUUUUAGGUUUAGUUUUUUUUUUUCUUUUUAAAUUUGGUUUAGUGUAAACCGGGUUGGGGAAAUUGUAGUGGUCUAAAUUUAUUUUUAAUUUCUGGUUUAGUAAUGUAAACCCAAGUUAAUUUGUAACCCAAUUUUAAUUUAUAAAUAAAAUUUAUUUCAUUUUCAGUAUAAAUUAAUUUUUGAUUUAA